GAUGAACGCUGGCGGCGUGCCUAAUACAUGCAAGUCGAGCGAACGGACGAGAAGCUUGCUUCUCUGAUGUUAGCGGCGGACGGGUGAGUAACACGUGGAUAACCUACCUAUAAGACUGGGAUAACUUCGGGAAACCGGAGCUAAUACCGGAUAAUAUUUUGAACCGCAUGGUUCAAAAGUGAAAGACGGUCUUGCUGUCCCUUAUAGAUGGAUCCGCGCUGCAUUAGCUAGUUGGUAAGGUAACGGCUUACCAAGGCAACGAUGCAUAGCCGACCUGAGAGGAUGAUCAGUCACACUGGAACUGAGACACGGUCCAGACUCCUACGGGAGGCAGCAGUAGGGAAUCUUCCGCAAUGGGCGAAAGCCUGACGGAGCAACGCCGCGUGAGUGAUGAAGGUCUUCGGAUCGUAAAACUCUGUUAUUAGGGAAGAACAUAUGUGUAAGUAACUGUGCACAUCUUGACGGUACCUAAUCAGAAAGCCACGGCUAACUACGUG
rnacentral:rRNA from 1 species